AUUGAACGCUGGCGGCAGGCCUAACACAUGCAAGUCGAACGAGUGGCGGACGGGUGAGUAAUGUAUGGGGAACUGCCCGAUGGAGGGGGAUAACUACUGGAAACGGUGGCUAAUACCGCAUACCAUCGGAUGUGCCCAGAUGGGAUUAGCUAGUAGGUGGGGUAAAGGCUCACCUAGGCGACGAUCCCUAGCUGGUCUGAGAGGAUGACCAGCCACACUGGAACGGAGACACGGCCCAGACUCCUACGGGAGGCAGCAGUGGGGAAUAUUGAACAAUGGGCGAAAGCCUGAUGCAGCCAUGCCGCGUGUAUGAAGAAGGCCUUCGGGUUGUAAAGUACUUGCAGCGGGGAGGCGUUACUCGCAGAAGAAGCACCGGCUAACUCCGUGCCAGCAGCCGCGGUAAUAC
rnacentral:rRNA from 1 species